GCCUAAUGAAUGCGAGUCGAACGAGGUUCGGGUAACCGAGGCGCUCCUUCGGGAGCAACUCACCUUCCCGACCUAGUGGCAAACGGGUGAGUAACACGUGGGCAACGUACCCCGAAGUCGGGGACAACAGUGGGAAACCGCUGCUAAUACCCGAUAUUCUGGGCCGCACACAAGUGCGGUUCAGCAAAGGCUUCGGUCGCUUUGGGAUCGGCCCGCGGCCCAUUAGCUUGUUGGUGAGGUAACGGCUCACCAAGGCGACGAUGGGUAGCUGGUCUGAGAGGACGGUCAGCCACACUGGGACUGAGACAUGGUCCAGACUCCUACGGGAGUUAGCAUCCGGGAAUCUUGCUCAAUGGGCGAAAGCCUGAGGCAGCGACGCCGCGUGGGUGAUGAAGGUCUGCGGAUCGUAAAGCCCUGUCAGGAGGGAAGAACGUCCCGCUUCUGCGGGACCUGACGGUACCUCCAAAGGAAGCCCCGGCUAACUACGUGCCAGCAGCCGCGGUAAUACGUAGGGGGCUAGCGUUGUCCGGAAUUACUGGGCGUAAAGGGCACGCAGGCGGUCUGAUCAGCGGAGGGUACAAUCUCGGGGCUCAACCCCGAAGCCGCUCUCCGUACUGUCAGACUAGAGCACGGGAGAGGGUAGUGGAAUUCCCGGUGUAGCGGUGGAAUGCGUAAAUAUCGGGAGGAACACCAGUGGCGAAGGCUGCUACCUGGAACGUUGCUGACGCUGAGGUGCGAAAGCCAGGGGAGCGAACGGGAUUAGAUACCCCGGUAGUCCUGGCUGUAAACGAUGCUCACUAGGUGUUGCCGGCAUCGACCCCGGCAGUGCUGUUCUGUUAACGCGUUAAGUGAGCCGCCUGGGGGAGUACGGCCGCAAGGCUGAAACUCAAAGGGAAUUGACGGGG
rnacentral:rRNA from 1 species